CCUGCAUUUCCUGUGUUCUCAUUCAGUGACCAGCACUGAACAGACUCACCAUGGAGCUGGGGCUCAGCUGGCUUUUCCUUGUUGUGCUUUUACAAGGUGUCCAGUGUAAGGAGCAGCUGGUGGAGUCUGGGGGAGGCUUGGUGCUGCCUGGGGGAUCCCUGAGACUCUCCUGUGUGGCCUCUGGAUUCACCUUCAGUAACUAUGGCAUGAACUGGGUCCACCAGGCUCCAGGGAAGGGUCUGGAGUGGGUGGCAUACAUUAAUUAUAAUGGUGGUACCAUAUACUAUGCCAACUCCGUGAAGGGCCAAUUCACCAUCUCCAGAGACAAUGCCAAGAACACCCUGUACUUGGACAUGAGCAGUCUGAGAUCUGAGGACACCGCCAUGUAUUACUGUGCAAGAGACACAGUGAGGGGAAGUCACUGGGAUCUCAGACUCAAACCUCCCUGCAGGGUGUUCAGGACCAGCAGGGGGCGCUGGAACACGCAGAGCUCAGAGUCACACCGUGGCAGGAGUCUCUGCGUUUGCACAUGUGAGGUGCAGCUGGUGGAGCCUGGGGGAGGCCUGGUGGAGCCUGGUGGUCCCCUGAGACUCUCCUGUGCAGCCUCUGGAUCCACCUUUGGUGACUAUGCCAUGAACUGGGUCCGCCAGGCUCCAAUGAAGGAACUGGAGUGGAUCUCAAUCAUUAGUGGUAGUAGCAGCACACACUAUGCCAACUGGGUGAAGGUCUGA